UACGGGAGGCAGCAGUAGGGAAUCUUCCACAAUGGGCGAAAGCCUGAUGGAGCAAUGCCGCGUGAGUGAAGAAGGUUUUCGGAUCGUAAAACUCUGUUGUUGAAGAAGAACAUGCGUGAGAGUAACUGUUCACGUACUGACGGUAUUCAACCAGAAAGCCACGGCUAACUACGUGCCAGCAGCCGCGGUAAUACGUAGGUGGCAAGCGUUGUCCGGAUUUAUUGGGCGUAAAGAGAAUGUAGGCGGUUUAUUAAGUUUGAAGUGAAAGCCCUCGGCUCAACCGAGGAAGUGCUUCGAAAACUGGUAAACUUGAGUGCAGAAGAGGAAAGUGGAACUCCAUGUGUAGCGGUGGAAUGCGUAGAUAUAUGGAAGAACACCAGUGGCGAAGGCGGCUUUCUGGUCUGUAACUGACGCUGAGAUUCGAAAGCAUGGGUAGCAAACAGGAUUAGAUACCCUGGUAGUCCAUGCCGUAAACGAUGAGUGCUAAGUGUUGGAGGGUUUCCGCCCUUCAGUGCUGCAGCUAACGCAUUAAGCACUCCGCCUGGGGAGUACGACCGCAAGGUUGAAACUCAAAGGAAUUGACGGGGGCCCGCACAAGCGGUGGAGCAUGUGGUUUAAUUCGAAGCAACGCGAAGAACCUUACCAGGUCUUGACAUACCAUGAAAAGCUAAGAGAUUAGUCUUUCCCUUCGGGGACAUGGAUACAGGUGGUGCAUGGUUGUCGUCAGCUCGUGUCGUGAGAUGUUGGGUUAAGUCCCGCAACGAGCGCAACCCUUAUUAUCAGUUGCCAGCAUUCAGUUGGGCACUCUGGUGAGACUGCCGGUGACAAACCGGAGGAAGGUGGGGACGACGUCAAAUCAUCAUGCCCCUUAUGACCUGGGCUACACACGUGCUACAAUGGUCGGUACAACGUGUUGCGAACUCGCGAGGGCAAGCAAAUCACUUAAAACCGAUCUCAGUUCGGAUUGCAGGCUGCAACUCGCCUGCAUGAAGCUGGAAUCGCUAGUAAUCGCGGAUCAGCAUGCCGCGGUGAAUACGUUCCCGGGCCUUGUACACACCGCCCGUCACACCAUGAGAGUUUGUAACACCCAAAGUCGGUGGGGUAACCCUUCGGGGAACUAGCCGCC
rnacentral:rRNA from 2 species